rnacentral:rRNA from 1 species
GACGAACGCUGGCGGCGUGCUUAACACAUGCAAGUCGAACGGAAAGGCCCUGCUUGCAGGGUACUCGAGUGGCGAACGGGUGAGUAACACGUGGGUGAUCUGCCCUGCACUUCGGGAUAAGCCUGGGAAACUGGGUCUAAUACCGGAUAGGAGCCAUUUUUAGUGUGAUGGUUGGAAAGUUUUUUCGGUGUAGGAUGAGCUCGCGGCCUAUCAGCUUGUUGGUGGGGUAAUGGCCUACCAAGGCGGCGACGGGUAGCCGGCCUGAGAGGGUGGACGGCCACAUUGGGAUGGAGAUACGGCCCAGACCCCUCCGGGGGGCAGGAGGGGGGAAUUGUGCACAAGGGGGGGAAGCCUGAUGCAGCGACGCCGGGUGGGGGAUGACGGCCUUCGGGUUGUAAACUCCUUUCGCGGGGGACGAAGCUUUUUGUGACGGUACCUAGAUAAGAAGCACCGGCUAACUACGU